UAUCUAUAGAUCACAUUUGGAUUUAUCUGUUGCCAUUACAUUUUUAAUUUUUUUUUUUUUUUAUUAAAGUAGGGAGGGGAUUUAUAUGGCUCCAUUCCUGGGUGGGUCUCGCGUGAGAGGAAGAGGGUGAGUUAGCAUAUUUUUCAGAUCAUAAAGCGUACCGGAUUAUAAGGCGCACUGUCGAUGAACGCGUCUAUUCGGGACUAUUUUUAUAGAAAAGGUGCACCAGAUUAUAAGGCACACGGUCAAUUCAGGACUAUUUUCAUACAAAAGGCGCACCAGAUUAUAAAGCGCAAUGUUGAUGAAUGGGACUAUUCGGGACUACUUUCAUUCAAAAAGCGCACUAGAUUAUAAGGCGCAAUGUUGAUGAAUGGGACUAUUCGGGACUAUUUUCAUUCAAAAGGCGCACCAGAUUAUAAGGCGCAAUGUCGAUGAAUGGGUCUAUUUGGGACUAUUUUCAUAGAAAAGGUGCUCCAUGAACAGGUUAAUUCUGGAUUAUUUUCAAACUAAAAGAUGCACCAGAUUAUAGGGCGCACUGUCGAUGAACGGGUCUAUUCGGGACUAUUUUCAUCCAAAAGGUGCACCAGAUUAUAAAGCGCACCGUCGAUGAACUGGUCUAUUCGGGACUAUUUUCAUAGAAAAGGUGCACCAGACCAUAAGGCGCACUGUCAAUUUGAGACUAUUUUCAUCCAAAAGGCGCACCGGAUUACAAAGCGCACCGUCGUUGAACGGGACUAUAUGGGACUAUUUUCACAGAAAAGGUGCACCAGAUUAUAAAACACACGGUCAAUUCGGGAUUAUUUUCCUCCAAAAGGCGCACCAGAUUAUAAAGCGCACUGUCGAUGAAUGGGACUAUUUGGGACUAUUUUCAUCCAAAAGGUGCACCAUGAACAGGUUAAUUCGGGAUUAUUUUCAAACUAAAGGUGGACCAGAUUAUAGGGCGCACUGUCGAUGAACCGGUCUAAUUGGGACUAUUUUCAUACAAAAGGCGCACCAGAUUAUAAGGCCCAAUGUUGAUCAACGGGUCUAUUUGGGACUAUUUUCAUAGAAAAGGUGCACCAUGAACAGGUUAAUUCGGAAUUAUUUUCAAACUAAAAAAUGCACCAGAUUAUAGGGCGCACUGUCGAUGAACGGGUCUAUUCGGGACUAUUUUCAUCCAAAAGGUGCACCAGAUUAUAAAGCGCACCGUCGAUGAACUGGUCUAUUCGGGACUAUUUUCAUAGAAAAGAUGCACCAGACCAUAAGGCGCACGGUCUAUUUGAGCCUAUUUUCAUCCAAAAGGCGCACCGGAUUAUAAAGCGUAAUGUUGAUGAACUGGUCUAUUUGGGACUAUCUUCAUACAAAAGGCGCACCGGAUUACAAAGCGCACCGUCGAUGAAUGGGACUAUUUUCAUAGAAAAGGCGCACCAGAUUAUAAAGCACACGGUCAAUUCGGGAUUAUUUUCCUCCAAAAGGCGCACCAGAUUAUAAGGCUCACUGUCGAUGAACGGGACUAUUUUCAUCCAAAAGGCGCACCAGAUUGUAAAGCGCACUGUCGAUGAACGGUUCUAUUUGGGACUAUUUUCAUAGAAAAGGUGCACCAUGAACAGGUUAAUUCGGGAUUAUUUUCAAACUAAAUGGUGCACCAGAUUAUAGGGCGCACUGUCAAUGAACGGGUCUAUUCGGGACUAUUUUCAUCCAAAAGGUGCACCAGAUUAUAAAGCGCACCGUUGAUGGCGCACCGGAUUAUAAGGCGCACUGUCAAUGAAUGGGUCUAUUUAGGACUAUUUUCAUCGAAAAGGUGCACCAUGAACAGGUUAAUUUGGGAUUAUUUUCAAACAAAAGGCGCACCAGUUUAUAAGGCGCACUGUCGAUGAACGGGUCUAUUCGGGAUUAUUUUCAUCCAAAAGGUGCACCAGAUUGUAAAGCGCACUGUCGAUGAACGGUUCUAUUUGGGACUAUUUUCAUCGAAAAGGUGCACCAUGAACAGGUUAAUUCGGGAUUAUUUUCAAACUAAAAGGUGCACCAGAUUAUAAAGCGCACCGUUGAUGAACUGGUCUAUUCGAGACUAUUUUCAUUCAAAAGGUGCACCAGACCAUAAGGCGCACUGUCGAUGAAUGGGUCUAUUUGGGACUACUUUCUUAGAAAAGGCGCACCAGAUUAUAAGGCACACAGUGAAUUCGAGGUUAUUUUCCUCCAAAAGGCGCACCAGAUUGUAAAGCGCACUGUCGAUGAACGGGACUAUUUGGGACUAUUUUCAUAGAAAAGGUGCACCAGACCAUAAGGCGCACUGUCGAUGAAUGGGUCUAUUUGGGACUACUUUCUUAGAAAAGGCGCACCAGAUUAUAAGGCACACGGUGAAUUCGAGGUUAUUUUCCUCCAAAAGGCGCACCAGAUUGUAAAGCGCACUGUCGAUGAACGGGACUAUUUGGGACUAUUUUCAUAGAAAAGGUGCACCAGACCAUAAGGCACACUGUCGAUAAACGGGACUAUUUGGGACUAUUUUCAUAAAAAAAGGUGCACCAGACCAUAAGGCGCACUGUCGAUGAACGGGACUAUUUUCAUAGAAAAGGUGCACCAUGAACAGGUUAAUUGGGGAUUAUUUUCAAACUAAAGGUGCACCAGAUUGUAAAAUGCAAUGUCGAUGAACGGGUCUAUUUGGGACUAUUUUGAUCCAAAAGGUGCACCAGAUUAUAAAGUGCAAUGUUGAUGAACGGGACUAUUCUGAACUAUUUUCAUAGAAAAGGUGCACCAGACCAUAAGGCGCACUGUCGAUGAACGGGUCUAUUUGGGACUAUUUUCAUAGAAAAGGUGCACCAUGAACAGGUUAAUUCGGGAUUAUUUUCCUCCAAAAGGUGCACCAGAUUAUAAAGCGCACUGUCGAUGAGCGGGACUAUUUGGGACUAUUUUCAUAGAAAAGGUGCACCAGACCAUAAGGCGCACUGUCAAUAAACGGGACUAUUUGGGACUAUUUUCAUAGAAAAGGUGCACCAUGAACAGGUUAAUUGGGUAUUAUUUUCCUCCAAAAGGCGCACCAGAUUAUAAAGCGCACUGUCGAUGAGCGGGACUAUUUGGGACUAUUUUCAUAGAAAAGGUGCACCAGACCAUAAGGCGCACUGUCGAUAAACGGGACUAUUUGGGACUAUUUUCAUAGAAAAGGUGCACCAUGAACAGGUUAAUUCGGGAUUAUUUUCAAACAAAAGGUGCAUCAGAUUGUAAAAUGCAAUGUCGAUGAACGGGUCUAUUUGGGACUAUUUUGAUCCAAAAGGUGCACCAGAUUAUAAAGCGCAAUGUUGAUGAACGGGACUAUUCUGAACUAUUUUCAUAGAAAAGGUGCACCAGACCAUAAGGCGCACUGUCGAUGAACGGGUCUAUUUGGGACUAUUUUCAUAGAAAAGGUGCACCAUGAACAGGUUAAUUCGGGAUUAUUUUCCUCCAAAAGGUGCACCAGAUUAUAAAGCGCACUGUCGAUGAGCGGGACUAUUUGGGACUAUUUUCAUAGAAAAGGUGCACCAGACCAUAAGGCGCACUGUCGAUGAACGGGUCUAUUUGGGACUAUUUUCAUAGAAAAGGUGCACCAUGAACAGGUUAAUUCGGGAUUAUUUUCCUCCAAAAGGUGCACCAGAUUAUAAAGCGCACUGUCGAUGAGCGGGACUAUUUGGGACUAUUUUCAUAGAAAAGGUGCACCAGACCAUAAGGCGCACUGUCAAUAAACGGGACUAUUUGGGACUAUUUUCAUAGAAAAGGUGCACCAUGAACAGGUUAAUUGGGGAUUAUUUUCCUCCAAAAGGCGCACCAGAUUAUAAAGCGCACUGUCGAUGAGCGGGACUAUUUGUGACUAUUUUCAUAGAAAAGGUGCACCAGACCAUAAGGCGCACUGUCGAUAAACGGGACUAUUUGGGACUAUUUUCAUAGAAAAGGUGCACCAUGAACAGGUUAAUUCGGGAUUAUUUUCAAACAAAAGGUGCAUCAGAUUGUAAAAUGCAAUGUCGAUGAACGGGUCUAUUUGGGACUAUUUUGAUCCAAAAGGUGCACCAGAUUAUAAAGUGCAAUGUUGAUGAACGGGACUAUUUUCAUAGAAAAGGUGCACCAGACCAUAAAGUGCAUGGUCUAUUUUAGACUAUUUUCAUGGAAAAGGUGCACCAGACCAUAAGGCGCACUGUCAAUGAACAGGUCUAUUCGGGACUAUUUUCAUUCAAAAGGUGCACCGGAUUAUAAGGCGCACUGUCGAUGAACGGGACUAUUUGGGACUAUUUUCAUAGAAAAGGUGCACCAGACCAUAAGGCGCACUGUCGAUAAACCGAACUAUUUGGGACUAUUUUCAUAGAAAAGGUGCACCAUGAACAGGUUAAUUGGGGAUUAUUUUCAAACUAAAGGUGCACCAGAUUGUAAAAUGCAAUGUCGAUGAACGGGUCUAUUUGGGACUAUUUUGAUCCAAAAGGUGCACCAGAUUAUAAAGUGCAAUGUUGAUGAACGGGACUAUUCGGGACUAUUUUCAUAGAAAAAGGUGCACCAGAUCAUAAGGCGCACUGUCGAUGAACUGGUCUAUUCGAGACUAUUUUCAUUCAAAAGGUGCACCAGACCAUAAGGCGCACUGUCGAUGAACGGGUCUAUUCGGGACUAUUUUCAUUCAAAAGGCGCACCGGAUUAUAAGGCGCACUGUCGAUGAACGGGACUAUUUGGGACUAUUUUCAUAGAAAAGGUGCAUCAGACCAUAAGGCGCACUGUCGAUAAACGAGACUAUUUGGGACUAUUUUCAUAGAAAAGGUGCACCAGACCAUAAGGCGCACUGUCGAUGAACGGGUCUAUUCGGGACUAUUUUCAUUCAAAAGGCGCACCGGAUUAUAAGGCGCACUGUCGAUGAACGGGACUAUUUGGGACUAUUUUCAUAGAAAAGGUGCACCAAGAACAGGUUAAUUCGGGAUUAUUUUCAAACAAAAGGCGCACCGGAUUAUAAGGCGCCCUGUCGAUGAACGGGACUAUUUGGGACUAUUUUCAUUCAAUAAGUACUGUAUACAUAUUGCAGCUUGUAGUCCUGUUCCCUGUCUGCACUUAUCUUGUCCAAACAGGACACUCAAACUGGGCCAGCGUGUUUUUAAGCUCGGGCUUCUCCUUGGCAGAAACGCUUCCUGUCCCUCCCUCAUUGUGCGGGAACACACCUGCACAGGUACAUGUACCGUUACACCCCUACUAUGCAGCGUCAACGUCAUGCUCUACAUUCAACAAGAAGAAAGGUGGCCAUUGUAAGAAUGCAUUGAGCUAACAAAACCAAAGGUUGGCGUUUAUUGCAGAGCAACACCCGUCUUUUUAUUUCUCCUUUUUUUCUUCUGUCUUUUUCAAACUCAAAGGAUGCGGGAGAAUGUAGCCAAUUGUAGCGCUUGAGUCCGCUAUGCAAAUCCACCCUCCCCCUCAAGGCCCUGUAUCAGCCAGGAGGACACAACACAACACAACACAACACACACUUCAAGAGGAGAUGUCAUGUUUUAAUGCUGCUGGUGGACUUUCUUCUUCUUCUGCAUCUAUUUACUCGUUAUACUUUCAAGCAAUGGAAUGCAAGCAGUGAAGAAGAGCAGGAGAGCGACCCACCAGAAGGAAUGAAUGAAUGAAUGUAUGCUACAGGAUGUGUCACAUUAGUCGUGUUGCUCGAUGGAAAGCGGGAACCUGUAUUUUUGCAAUAAACUUAUUACCGAUGCACUCCCACAGGGGGCGUAACCACCGUA